UCGAACGGAGAAUUGCUAGCUUGCUAAUAAUUCUCUAGUGGCGCACGGGUGAGUAACACGUGAGUACCUGCCCCCAAGAGUGGGAUAGCCCCGGGAAACUGGGAUUAAUACCGCAUAAAGCAAUAAAGCAGCAAUGCGCUUGGGGAUGGGCUCGCGUCCUAUUAGUUAGUUGGUGAGGUAACGGCUCACCAAGGCGAUGACGGGUAGCCGGUCUGAGAGGAUGUCCGGCCACACUGGAACUGAGACACGGUCCAGACACCUACGGGUGGCAGCAGUCGAGAAUCAUUCACAAUGGGGGAAACCCUGAUGGUGCGACGCCGCGUGGGGGAUAAGGUCUUCGGAUUGUAAACCCCUGUCAUGUGGGACAUUAAAAGAUAGUACCACAAGAGGAAGAGACGGCUAACUCUGUGCCAGCAGCCGCGGUAAUACAGAGGUCUCAAGCGUUGUUCGGAAUCACUGGGCGUAAAGCGUGCGUAGGCGGUUUCGUAAGUCGUGUGUGAAAGGCGGGGGCUCAACCCCCGGACUGCACAUGAUACUGCGAGACUAGAGUAAUGGAGGGGGAACCGGAAUUCUCGGUGUAGCAGUGAAAUGCGUAGAUAUCGAGAGGAACACUCGUGGCGAAGGCGGGUUCCUGGACAUUAACUGACG
rnacentral:rRNA from 1 species